UCACACAUCUCAAUUCCUUAGCCUCUUGCCUCUCGAGUCUCUGACUGUCGACUGUCUAUCUCACAUCCUCUCCGGCUUCCGCCUCUCGGCUCUCACUGUCUGUCUCGCCGUUUCACCUUUCGCAGCUCCGCACCUCGGCCGGCGGCCUCUCUCCCUAGUCCCUGCGACUCGGCGACUCUGUUCUUCAACUUUGACUGCUCGACCUCUCUUCUGAGUUCCGACUCCAGGUAAAUUUUCAUUCACUAUCAAGAUUCGAGUGCAUGACUGCAUGUUUUGAUUAGUAGUUUAGACUAUGUUCUUCUUUGUACUCUUUUUUCUCUCUCUUAAAAACUGACUCAUAACUCAUAAGUCACAGGGAUAGUGUAAGGAGAGAGGGAGAUCAGAGGGAGAGGGAGAGAGAAUUAGAAAUUUGGUAUUGAAGUUUCACAGCUUUCAGUUGUGUUUUAAGUUUAAUUUUCUACAUAUAUCUUCCAAUUUUCUUAACAACCAAAUGGGUUUCUUUUUUCUAACUCUCUGUUUCAGUGUUUUGGGGAUUAAGUUUAUGGCAUUGGUUUAUGUUUGGUUGAGGAGAUAGUGUUGAAGAAAAGAAUUUGAAAUUAUUGGGCUUGAUGCUUGCAGAUUUAACAAUACAUUGCAUUUGAUUUUACUGAUAGAUUUUAUAUUAAAAAUUUUGGGGGACUUUUGGAUUUGUAUUCUUUAACUAUCAUCAUAAUUAUCAAGUGUAGUUUUAUAACUAAUGAAAUAUAUAAUUUCAAUUAUAAUGUUAAUAUUAAGUUUGUGGAAUGUUAACAAAAUUGUAUCUUUCUACUUCAUAAUUUCUCGUAGCUUUAGUUUAUUUGUUGCUUAAGAACUUGGAAAUUUGUAAUUUUUGAUUCAACAUGACUACACAAUUUAGUCGAUUUUAUUUGAUUUCCAGUAGUUCAGUUUAUUCAAUUUACUGUUGGAAUUUUGUGCUUUAUUUAUUUAUUUAUAUAUAUAGUUUCCUUCUCUCCAUAUUGUUUGCACUCUGCAACUUUCAAUAUGUUAGCUAACUAGCAUGUUAGCUGAUGCAAGCCUAAGUAUAUUUUUUUAAUGUGACGUUGUUCUUCCAUGGUGAAUUUUAAACAGUUUGAGCUGCAGAUUUUUUAAAGGUGUGAGCUGGUAUAUUAGGACUGACUGUUUAUUUGAUAUUGUUAUUGUGUUGGGAUGUGAUUUGCUCUCCCUUUCCUUUCCUUUCCUUUCCUUUCUUUUUCCUUUUGGCUUUAAAUUACUUGAAUUUUGAAAAUUUUGGACAAGUAAAAUAUUCAAUUCUUAUGGAACAAAAAUUUGCUUGGUCAAAAUGAGAAAUGGAUUCUAGCAGAAUGAACGCUAUGGAAAAGCUAGCAUGGCUAAUAUAAGAAUUUAAUCAGGAAGGUUCCUUCGUUGUCUACAUGACCAGCAGAAUUACAAAAUAGGUCUAAAAUAUGACUUGAUUUUCUAACUGUUGAUCAUAGCUAGGACUUUCACUACUGCCAGGAGGCCAAUGGUUGCAAGAAACUCUCACAAUUACCCCUAAUAAUAUUUAUCAUUAGGCCCAGUAACCCAAUGCUAAUGAUGACCUCUUGCUUGUCUUGUAAUGGAGAUGAUAUAUUCCAUCCCAGAGUAAUAUUUGAAUUAGUGAUGAUGAGCUUUGUAAAAUCUAUUGAAGAAAAGAAAUGUUGAGUUUUUGUCUUGCUAUCCUAAUCUUACAUAUAAUCUCCUUUUUGUGUCCAACUCAGAUUUGUGGUUUUAAAGAAACAGAUAAUGGGUGACAGUUUGCUGUUGUAUGGACCAAGUUUAUGAUUAGUACACCAUUAGUCACUGUUGGAGAAAAGUGCAGUUCCACAUCUUAAAUUGGUAUGAGUUAUUGUGACAAGAGAUGUCUGCCUUUCUUGUCCUUUAAAUGAAAGUGGGUAGAGAUGAAAAGAAAUUCACUAUCAUGAUCAUGUAACAUAGAGAGUAAUACAACUUUUUGAAAAAAGAAAAGAAAGUUACACUGUAUAUAUGUGCUCAAUAACCACAUCCUGUGACCAUUAUAUAUAGUGAAGCAUUGGUGCUGCUCUGCCAUCUUUAUUUCUUGCUAGAUUUUAUCACAUCACGAGAAAACUCAUUUAUGCUAUUGUUGAUUCUCAUUUUUG
rnacentral:lncRNA from 1 species